rnacentral:rRNA from 1 species
GAUGAACGCUGGCGGCGUGCUUAACACAUGCAAGUCGAACGAGAGAAGAUUGGUGCUUGCACUGAUCCGAUCGAGUGGCGGACGGGUGAGUAACGCGUGGGUAACCUGCCUCAUACAGGGGAAUAACAGUUGGAAACGGCUGCUAAAAACGCAUAAGCGCACAGUAUCGCAUGAUACAGUGUGAAAAACUCCGGUGGUAUGAGAUGGACCCGCGUCUGAUUAGCUAGUUGGUGAGGUAACGGCCCACCAAGGCAACGAUCAGUAGCCGGCCUGAGAGGGUGAACGGCCACAUUGGGACUGAGACACGGCCCAAACUCCUACGGGAGGCAGCAGUGGGGAAUAUUGCACAAUGGGGGAAACCCUGAUGCAGCGACGCCGCGUGAGUGAUGAAGUAUUUCGGUAUGUAAAGCUCUAUCAGCAGGGAAGAUAAUGACGGUACCUGACUAAGAAGCACCGGCUAAAUACGUGCCAGCCGCCGCAGUAA